UGCGUAGGCGGGUCUGUAAGUAUCUUGUGAAAUCCCACGGCUCAACCGUGGAACUGCUCGGUAGACUGCAGACCUUGAGGUCGGUAGAGGAUGCUGGAACUCUAGGUGGAGCGGUGAAAUGCGUAGAUAUCUAGAGGAACACCGAAGGUGAAGACAGGCAUCUGGGCCGAUUCUGACGCUGAGGCACGAAAGCGUGGGUAGCGAACG
rnacentral:rRNA from 1 species